rnacentral:tRNA from 1 species
UCCCUGGUAGUCCAAUGGCUAAAACUCUGGGUUCCCAAUGCAGGGGGCCCAGGUUUGAUCCCUGGUCAGGGAA